CUCUUCUGGUCUACACAGCGCAGACUCCUGGGCUCGCGUGUGCAAAGAAACAAUAAUCCCAGGAAAGUUAUUAAAAAAUCACUCUGGGUCUGGGGCAAACCUGGACUGUGGGUCACCUUACUACUGCUAUUUUCUACUCUAUCUGACUGGAGACUUCUACUGUCCUACAGGAGAGCUUGUCCCUUUUAGGAGGUGGGCAUAGUUAGCCCCGAAUUGGAAGAGUCACAUACCUGGCCUCCCAAGGAGAACAAGUUCCAAAUUCCUUUUCCUGGUGCCAGACACUAGCCCUCCCGACCCGCUGGGCCGCGUCUGCUCCUUCCUCUUCUCCACCAAGCCCCCCGCCCCCUUGCUCUGCCCACCACAUUUUUCAGCAUUACUGGUUUUAAUUUCCUCUACCAUCCCCUUUGCAAAAACUUCUUUCCUGAUUUAAUUACUACUUCUCUUAAUUCAAUUUCACUCUCUUGAUUGUCAUUAAACUCCCAGAAUUGUUUCUCCAAAGAAUUUAACGGUGAGGCCCUCUGCUUAGAGAUUAAUUGUCAUCAUUUCGCCUUCAAACACAGGUAUUCUUACUUCUCUUCAAUUAUCUCCCAGAGAAAGGGAAGUGACCGUCCUUCUUCUCGGGGGCCUCUCUGAGAACAAACACUGCUGGGGGCUGCCUUUUGAGAGAGAGAGACAGAGAAAGCGAAGUCUCAUAGAUUUUUCUUCCACUUUCUACUGACUCUAAUCUCAGGAUCUGAGAGGAGCCUGAGAGCCCCAGGCUUCUCAAGGGCUCAGGCUGGGAGCGGGUGGAGCGAAGGCUCCAGAAGAGGCAGUCCAGCCUUGAGAAAUGAGGGCUCUCUGUCAGGAGGGUGAGGAGUGGCAGCAGGGGCUAGCUCGGGCCUCAAACAUCCUGCCCAGUUGGGGUCUCUCAGAGGAACUAAGGCUGUAGCUCAAGGGAACAGAAACACUGCGGGCUAGAAUUUCCCUUCCCUGGAGUGUCGCUCUCAGGACACAAAGCCUCCGUGCCCCACGCUCCCACUGUUCCCUCAUGGUCUCAGUACACGACCUUGACCUUGAAGAGACCUACCCGGCCCUCAAACUCUGUUUUUGCCAGCCCUCAGUGUCUUCUGUCUUUGUGGGCAAACCUCAAAAACAGUUGCUAGGGGAGGAGGGAGGAUUCCAGGUGGGGCUGCCGCGAGCUUCCUGUAUGAUUCAGUUGCUGCCCCUUCUACCCUGCCCGGGUCUGAGACCCGACCCAGCCUGGCCCCUAGGAGCUGUGCGAUCUCCAUGCUCCGCUACCCGGAGCCUCGGUUCCCUCGUCUGCAGAUAUUCAGACAUCAUACCGUGUGAAAGGGAUAAAGAAAGACCUGUGUUUCCAUUGUGUGAGGGCAAAUGAAAGAAUUCAACUCAGGCAUUCAGCACAGUGCCUGGCUCGUAAGAAGCCUUCAACGACAAGUAGUCACAAUGAGUAUUCACACACUAGCCAACGCUCUUCAAUCAAGCUCACCUCAGGACUACAAAAUGGCUGCUGCCACACCAGUCAUUACAACCAUGUUUCAGGCAGAAAAAGAUGGAAGACCAACAAAGAACCUGCCCAUAUAGUCCCAUUUUCAGGAAGAAUUUCCAGAAAUCUUAUCUAGUUUCUUCCUUUAUACCAUUGACCAGAAGGUAGUCAUAUGACCACUCUUAUCUGGAAGGGAGGCUGGGAAAUCUAACCUUUCAGCCAGGCACUUUGCUACCUUCAACAAAAUCAGGGCCCUGUGUAAGUAAGAAGAGAGGAAUAAACUUUGGGUAGGCAAACCAGCAA